rnacentral:tRNA from 1 species
GCCUAGCUGGCUCAGUCAGUAGAGCAUGUAACUCUUGAUCAUGGGGCUGUAAGUUCAAGUCCCACACUGGGUG